rnacentral:tRNA from 1 species
GCCGUGGUGGCGGAACUGUAGACGCGCUAGGCUCAGAACUUAGUGUUCGCAAGGACAUGGGGGUUCGACUCCCCCCCUCGGCACCA